rnacentral:rRNA from 1 species
GGGCACUGACUGCUUAUUGCACCACAUGUGUUUUUCUUUGAAACAAACUUGCUUUGGCGGUGGGCCCAGCCUGCCGCCAGAGGUCUAAACUUACAACCAAUUUUUUAUCAACUUGUCACACCAGAUUAUUACUAAUAGUCAAAACUUUCAACAACGGAUCUCUUGGUUCUCGCAUCGAUGAAGAACGCAGCGAAAUGCGAUACGUAAUAUGAAUUGCAGAUAUUCGUGAAUCAUCGAAUCUUUGAACGCACAUUGCGCCCUCUGGUAUUCCGGAGGGCAUGCCUGUUUGAGCGUCGUUUCUCCCUCAAACCGCUGGGUUUGGUGUUGAGCAAUACGACUUGGGUUUGCUUGAAAGACGGUAGUGGUAAGGCGGGAUCGCUUUGACAAUGGCUUAGGUCUAACCAAAAACAUUGCUUGCGGCGGUAACGUCUACCACGUAUAUCUUCAAACUUUGACCUCAAAUCAGGUAGGACUACCCGCUGAACUUAAGCAUAUCAAAAGCCGGAGGAA